rnacentral:rRNA from 1 species
GACGAACGCUGGCGGCGUGCUUAACACAUGCAAGUCGAACGAUGAAGCCGGAGCUUGCUCCGGUGGAUUAGUGGCGAACGGGUGAGUAACACGUGAGCAAUCUGCCCUUGACUCUGGGAUAACUGCGGGAAACUGUAGCUAAUACCGGAUACGACACCUUGGGGCAUCCCAGGGUGUGGAAAGAAUGUCGGUCAAGGAGGAGCUCGCGGCCUAUCCGCUAGUUGGUGAGGUAAUGGCUCACCAAGGCGACGACGGGUAGCCGGCCUGAGAGGGUGACCAGGCACACUGGAACUGAGACACGGUCCAGACUCCUACGGGAGGCAGCAGUGGGGAAUAUUGCACAAUGGGCGAAAGCCUGAUGCAGCAACGCGGCGUGAGGGAUGAAGGCCUUCGGGUUGUAAACCUCUGUUAGCAGGGAAGAAGCGAAAGUGACGGUACCUGCAGAAAAAGCACCGGCUAACUACGUGCCAGCCGCCGCAGUAA